rnacentral:rRNA from 1 species
UACGUAGGGGGCAAGCGUUGUCCGGAUUUAUUGGGCGUAAAGAGCGUGUAGGCGGUUCGGUAGGUCCGUUGUGAAAACUCGAGGCUCAACCUCGAGACGCCGAUGGAAACCCCCGAACUAGAGUCCGGAAGAGGAGAGUGGAAUUCCUGGUGUAGCGGUGAAAUGCGUAGAUAUCAGGAGGAACACCUGUGGCGAAAGCGGCUCACUGGACCAUAACUGACGCUGAUGCACGAAAGCUAGGGGAGCAAACAGG